UAUUAAAAUUUUCAUCUAUUUGUACCCUUAAAAACUGGCGCAGCUGAUGGAAUAAUCAGAAAAUAGCACGUGGAGUACCACAUAUAUCUCAUACUAAGGUACAAAAACCAAUUUUUAACAGUAAGAAUGGAUGAAAUUUUUAAUA
rfam:Gossypium hirsutum cultivar TM-1 unplaced genomic scaffold scaffold2140.1, whole genome shotgun sequence